ensembl:snRNA U1 U1 spliceosomal RNA
AUACUUACCUGGCAGGAGCAAUACCACGAUCACAAAGGUGGUUUUCCCAGGGCGAGGCUUAUUCAGUGCUCUCUGGAUGUUCUGACCCUUGUGAUUUCCCAAAUGUAGGAAACUCAACUGCAUAAUUUGUGGUAGUGGGGGAAAAAAAAAGAAGAAGCACAUAUGAGAAUCUAGCUGUCCUUUC